rnacentral:rRNA from 1 species
GACGAACGCUGGCGGCGUGCUUAACACAUGCAAGUCGAACGGAAAGGCCCUGCUUUUGUGGGGUGCUCGAGUGGCGAACGGGUGAGUAACACGUGAGUAACCUGCCCUUGACUUUGGGAUAACUUCAGGAAACUGGGGCUAAUACCGGAUAGGAGCUCCUGCUGCAUGGUGGGGGUUGGAAAGUUUCGGCGGUUGGGGAUGGACUCGCGGCUUAUCAGCUUGUUGGUGCGGUAGUGGCUUACCAAGGCUUUGACGGGUAGCCGGCCUGAGAGGGUGACCGGCCACAUUGGGACUGAGAUACGGCCCAGCCUCCUACGGGAGGCAGCAGUGGGGAAUAUUGCACAAUGGGCGGAAGCCUGAUGCAGCAACGCCGCGUGCGGGAUGACGGCCUUCGGGUUGUAAACCGCUUUCGCCUGUGACGAAGCGUGAGUGACGGUAAUGGGUAAAGAAGCACCGGCUAACUACGUG